UACAGAGGGGGCAAGCGUUAUUCGGAAUUAUUGGGCGUAAAGGGCGCGUAGGCGGCUUGGCAAGUGGAAGGUGAAAUCCAUCGGCUUAACCGAGGAACUGCCCUCCAAACUGCUUCGCUUGAGACCGGGAGAGGUGAGUGGAAUUCCCAGUGUAGCGGUGAAAUGCGUAGAUAUUGGGAGGAACACCAGUGGCGAAGGCGGCUCACUGGACCGGAACUGACGCUGAGGCGCGAAAGCGUGGGGAGCAAACGGG
rnacentral:rRNA from 1 species